UGCUGUAUAAAAGGUGGCCUUCGGGCUGUCGUUUGGGGAUGAGUCUGCGUCCUAUUAGUUAGUUGGUGAGGUAAUGGCUCACCAAGGCGAUGAUAGGUAGGCGGCCUUAACGGGUGGUCGCCCACACUGGGAUUGAGAUACGGCCCAGACUCCUACGGGAGGCAGCAGUCGAGAAUAGUCUACAAUGGACGAAAGUCUGAUAGUGCGACGCCGCGUGAACGAAGACUCCCUAACAGGGUGUAAAGUUCUUUUAUAUGUGAGCAAUGGGUUAUAUAUUAAUAGUAUGUAGCCAGAGAUAUUAGCAUAUGAAUAAGCAACGGCUAACUCCGUGCCAGCAGCCGCGGUAACACGGGGGUUGCAAGCGUUGUCCGGAAUUACUAGGCGUAAAGGGCAGGUAGGCGGAUCAGUAAGUUUGAUGUCAAAUCCAUCGGCUCACCCGAUGAUCGGCAUCAGAUACUGCUGAUCUGGAGUACGGUUGAGGAAGACAGAAUUCCUGGUGUAGCGGUGGAAUGCGCAGAGAUCAGGAGGAAUACCAAAUGCGAAGGCAGUCUUCUAGGCCGUUAUUGACGCUAAACUGCGAAGGUGUGGGGAUCAAACAGAAUUAGAUACCCUGGUAGUCCACACAGUAAACGAUAAUCACUAGGUGUCGGGUGUCAAAUAAACUCGGUGCCGUAGCUAACGCGUUAAGUGAUUCGCCUGGGGAGUACGAUCGCAAGGUUGAAACUCAAAGGAAUUGACGGGGGCCCGCACAAGCGGUGGAGCAUGUGGUUUAAUUCGAUGCAACGCGAAGAACCUUACCAGGUCUUGACAGUGUAAAGAAUACUUAAGAGAUUAAGGGCUAAGAAUUAAGCUUGCUUAUUUCACUUUAUAAACAGGUGGUGCAUGGUUGUCGUCAGCUCGUGUCGUGAGAUGUUGGGUUAAGUCCCGCAACGAGCGCAACCCCUAUUGCUAGUUGCCAUCAUUAAGUUGGGCACUCUAGCAAGACUGCCGGUGACAAAUCGGAUGAAGGUGGGGAGGACGUCAAAUCAUCAUGCCCCUUAUGACCUGGGCUACACGCGUGCUACAAUGGCUAAUACAAAGAGUUGCAAAACCGUGAGGUAGAGCUAAUCUCAUAAAGUUAGUCUCAGUUCGGAUUGUAGUCUGCAACUCGACUACAUGAAGUUGGAAUCGCUAGUAAUCGUAAAUCAGAAUGUUACGGUGAAUAAAUUCUCGAGUCUUGUACACACCGCCCGUCAA
rnacentral:rRNA from 1 species